GGAGAGGUGGCAGAGCGGUUGAAUGCACUAGUCUUGAAAACUAGCGAGGAUUCACGUCCUCCGAGGGUUCGAAUCCCUCCCUCUCCGCCA
rnacentral:tRNA from 2 species